rnacentral:rRNA from 1 species
UACGGAGGAUGCAAGCGUUAUCCGGAAUCAUUGGGCGUAAGGCGCGUGUAGGCGGUCCGGUAAGUCCGCUGUGAAAGUCCAGGGCUCAACCCUGGGAUGCCGGUGGAUACUGUCGGACUAGAGUACGGAAGAGGCGAGUGGAAUUCCCGGUGUAGCGGUGAAAUGCGCAGAUAUCGGGAGGAACACCAAUUGCGAAGGCAGCUCGCUGGGACGUUACUGACGCUGAGACGCGAAAGCGUGGGGAGCAAACAGG